rnacentral:rRNA from 1 species
UAUAUAUAUAUUAUAGUUAAUUAAAUAUUUAAUAAUAAAAAAAAAAAAAAAAAAAAAAAAAAUAAAAUCAUUGUUUAUACAUUGGUAUAAAUAUUAUCUUUAUGACAAGAAUGUGAGUUAGUUGACAAUUUUUUUGUAAAAGGAACUUUUUUAAAAAUUAGUUAAAUUUGUGCCAGCAUCUGCGGUUAGACUAGAAAUUUGGUUGAUGUUAUUUAGAAUUUAUAAUAGUAGUGAUUAUUGAUAAAAUUGUUUGGUGGAAUAGAGGAAUGAGGCUAGAUUGGUUUAAUUAAAAAAGUUAAAAUAAAAGCAGGAUUAGAUACCCUGUUAUUAAUACUAGUGUGUUUCUAAGGAUUAAUGAUAAAUUUAGAAGAUUUGGCGGCUAAAAUUAAUUAAAGGGGUUUGUUUGUACAAUUGAUGUGGCUCAUUGAGUAUUACUUGUUUUAUUUAGUAUACCGUCAUUUAGAUAGUUUAUAAUUAAUUAACUAUUGCAAUUUGUUUAAGUACACUAGAUCAAGGUGCAGAAAUAAACAAGGGCAAAUUGACUACAAUAAUGUAUUAUUAUACUUGUCUUUUUUAAAUUUUAGGUGUAGGUGGAUUUAAUUGUAAUUAAAGAUGUAUGAAAGUUAUUUUAGUGCACAAAUUGCCCGUCAUUCUCCAUGAGACAAGUCGAAACAAAGUAGGGCUAUCGGAAGUUGGACCUA